rnacentral:ncRNA from 1 species
GCUCUAUAAGGGCAAAUCCAGUGAAAAUUGGAGACGCAAAGUUACCGAUCUAAGGGGCAACCUAUGAUAGCGGAACUGCCAAG